AUUGAACGCUGGCGGCACGCUUAACACAUGCAAGUCGAACGGCAGCAUGAGUAGGGGUAACCUUACUUGAUGGCGAGUGGCGGACGGGUGAGUAAUAUGUAGGAAUCUACCUAGAGGAGGGGGAUAACUUGGGGAAACUCAAGCUAAUACCACAUAAGCCCUACGGGGGAAAGCAGGGGAUCGAAAGACCUUGUGCCUUAUGAUGAGCCUACAUCGGAUUAGCUAGUUGGUGGGGUAAAGGCCUACCAAGGCGACGAUCCGUAGCUGGUCUGAGAGGAUGAUCAGCCACACUGGGACUGAGACACGGCCCAGACUCCUACGGGAGGCAGCAGUGGGGAAUAUUGGACAAUGGGCGAAAGCCUGAUCCAGCAAUGCCGCGUGUGUGAAGAAGGCCUUAGGGUUGUAAAGCACUUUCAGUGGGGAGGAAGGGUGUAAUGCUAAUACCAUUGCACAUUGACGUUACCUACAGAAGAAGCACCGGCUAACUCUGUGCCAGCAGCCGCCGUAA
rnacentral:rRNA from 1 species